GAUGAAGAACGUAGCGAUAUGCGAUAAGUAAUGUGAAUUGCAGAAUUCAGUGAAUCAUCGAAUCUUUGAACGCACAUUGCGCCCAUUAGUAUUCUAGUGGGCAUGCCUGUUCGAGCGUCAUUAAUUCCACUUAAGCCCUGCUUAGUGUUGGGAAUCUACUCUAGUGGUGCUACCCUGGAGCUACCCCUGAAAGGGGGCUGGCCCGGUAGCUACCCUGUAGUUCCUCAAAGAUAGUGCGCGGAGUUGCGUGGUCCUCUGAGCUUAGUAACUAUACACCUAGCUUUUGAGUGUCCCGCGGCGCCUGCCGUUGAAACCCCAUCUUUUAAUGGUUGACCUCGGAUCAGGUAGGAAUACCCGCUGAACUUAAGCAUAUCAAUAAGCGGAGGA
rnacentral:misc_RNA from 1 species